rnacentral:rRNA from 1 species
AACGUAGGAGGCGAGCGUUAUCCGGAGUUACUGGGCGUAAAGCGCGUGUAGGUGGCUGGUUACGUCUGCUGUGAAAUGUCCCGGCUUAACCGGGACUAGGCGGUAGAUACGGAUCGGCUAGAGGGUGACAGAGGAGCGUAGAAUUCCGGGUGUAGUGGUGAAAUGCGUAGAGAUCCGGAGGAAUACCAGUGGCGCAAGCGGCGCUCUGGGUCGAGCCUGACACUGAGACGCGAAAGCAUGGGGAGCAAACUGG